UGAGCAGGUUGAAGCUUGGCUAAUCCCAAGUGGAGGACCGAACCGUAGUACGCUGAAAAGUGCCCGGAUGACUUGUGAAUAGCGGAGAAAUUCCAAUCGAACUUGGAGAUAGCUGGUUCUCCUCGAAAUAGCUUUAGGGCUAGCGUGUGAUGUUAAACUUUGGUGGUAGAGCACUGAAUAUGGAAUGGCCGCGCCUAGCGGUACUGACUAUAAUCAAACUCCGAAUACCAUUGUGUACUGUCAUGCAGUCGGAACCGGGGUGCUAACGUCCCGGCUCGCGAGGGUAACAACCCAGAUCGUCGGCUAAGGUCCCAAAAUCGUGUUAAGUGAGAAAGGUUGUGAGAUUUCAUAAACAACUAGGAAGUUGGCUCAGAAGCAGCCAUCUUUUAAAGAGUGCGUAAUAGCUCACUAGUCAAGAGAUCUUGCGCCAACAAUUUAACGGGACUAAAACACGAUACCGAAGCCACGGGUACAAUUAUGUACGUUAGAGGAGCGUUCUUAGGGCAAUGAAGUCAGACCGUGAGGACUGGUGGAGCGCUAAGAAGUGAGAAUGCCGGUAUGAGUAACGAUUCGUAGUGAGAAUCUACGACGCCUAUUGGGGAAGGUUUCCUGGGCAAGGUUCGUCCACCCAGGGUUAGUCAGGUCCUAAGGUGAGGCUGAAAAGCGUAAUCGAUGGACAACAGGUUAAUAUUCCUGUACUUUCUAUAUAUGUGAUGGAGUGACGGAGAAGGAUAGUCUUACCACUUACUGGAUUGUGGGGUAAACUUCAACUGGGAAUUAUUGGCAAAUCCGUAAUUCAUAACCGGGAGGAGUGGCAUAGCGCAAGCGAAUUAGAUGAGUUCACGCUUCCUAGAAAAGCUUCUAAACUUUAAAUAUAUGGAAACCUGUACCGAGAACGGACACACGUCCCCAAGAUGAGUAUUCUAAGGCGAGCGAGAAAACUAGUGUUAAGGAACUCUGCAAAAUGACCCCGUAAGUUCGCGAGAAGGGGCACCUAUGGUAACACAUAGGUCACAGUAAAUUAUGAGGGGCAACUGUUUAUCAAAAACACAGCUCUCUGCUAAACCGCAAGGUGAUGUAUAGGGGGUGAAGCCUGCCCAGUGCCCGAAGGUUAAGUGGAUGCGUUAGCUUAUGCGAAGCGUUGAAAUGAAGCCCGGGUGAACGGCGGCCGUAACUAUAACGGUCCUAAGGUAGCGAAAUUCCUUGUCGGCUAAAUACUGACCUGCACGAAAGGCGCAAUGAUCUCUCAACUGUCUCAACACUAGACUCGGUGAAAUUAUGGUCCCAGUGAAAACGCUGGGUACCCGCAUCAAGACGAAAAGACCCCAUGGAGCUUUACUACAAUUUCGUAUUGAAAUUUGGUCUAACAUGUGUAGGAUAGGUGGGAGACGUUGAAACUGGGACGCUAGUAACAGUGGAGUCAUCCUUGAAAUACCACCCUUGUUAUAUUGAGUUUCUAACUUGCUAUCAUAAUCAGGUAGGAGGACAGUGCGUGAUGGGUAGUUUGACUGGGGCGGUCGCCUCCUAAAGAGUAACGGAGGCGUUCAAAGGUACACUCAGUACGGUCAGAAACCGUAUGUAGAGCGCAAAGGUAGAAGUGUGCUUGACUGUGAGACUUACAAGUCGAGCAGGUGCGAAAGCAGGACUUAGUGAUCCGGCUGUACAUUGUGGAAUGGCAGUCGCUCAACGGAUAAAAGUUACCCUGGGGAUAACAGGCUUAUCUUGCCCAAGAGAUCACAUCGACGGCAAGGUUUGGCACCUCGAUGUCGGCUCAUCGCAUCCUGGAGCUGGAGUCGGUUCCAAGGGUUGGGCUGUUCGCCCAUUAAAGCGGUACGCGAGCUGGGUUCAAAACGUCGUGAGACAGUUUGGUCCCUAUCUGAUGUGGGCGUUGGAAUAUUGAUGAGAGCCGCUCUUAGUACGAGAGGACCGGAGUGGACGUACCACUGGUGUUCCAGUUGUUCCGCCAGGAGCAUAGCUGGGUAGCUAAGUACGGAAAGGAUAACCGCUGAAAGCAUCUAAGUGGGAAGCCUCCUCAGAGAUAAGUAUUCCCUUGAGAUUCCUUAUAGACUAUGAGGUUGAUAGGUUGGAGGUGUAAGCACAGUAAUGUGUUGAGCUGACCAAUACUAAUAAAUCGAACGGUUUAAAAGU
rnacentral:rRNA from 1 species